CUGCCCGGCCGGGAGCGCCGGGCCCGCGCUGGAGCCAGCGCUGAGCACCGGGCCCGGGUCACGGCGGCUCCCAGGGACCGUCUGCUGGCAAAAUCGGAAGGAACGGUGACGUUGUUCUUAGCUGAACACCAUUAAAAUGCUCCUCUGGUAUCUCUCAAUAGAGGUGAAAAGCAUUUCAGCUUCCUGGAAAUGGCCGAAAGAGGCGACGUGUAGAUCAAAGUACGGCGCAGAGCUGGGCUCCUAUUUGCAAGGGUUUUUGAACUGUAGUGAAAACGUUUCUGCAGCUUGCAUCGUAAUGAGUUAAGUCAGCACGUGAAGCGACUAAAAAAGGCAUAUUUAAACAGCAUCGGGCUAUUAACUUUCCUGGGAUUUAAGAUUUAUGUUUAAAUAUAUAUUUGGCUGUUAGCAAUACCAGCAUUUAAACCGUAACGUUGAUCUGUUCAACCUUGAAGCAAACCAGCUCUGCCUAACGCAGCUUUGAAGCGACACAGCCAGACCAUAAUACUGUGGGAGCUUAGACAGCUUUGUCUGUACUUGCAUCUCUCUGCAUAUUUUUCCAGGACUCUGAUCUUUGUCUGCGAUUAAUCAUUGUCCAGGACGGCUGUUCCCGGUGGUAGUAUCCAUGAAGUGCUCCAGCUGGGAGAGGUCCUAACGCGUGUGCCUGGCGCUGCGUACGUGCAAACCAGGGCCAGAAAUUGCUGGGGCAGCAGGCGCUGGACAGCGAGCCUGCCGUGCCGCCCCAGUGAGUUGUGUGGGUCCUCAGCACUUCUGGAAGUUGUUUUUAUCUGGAUGCAGAAGAACAUCUGAUGGUGAGUAAUUUCAUGCAGAUCUGUAGCAGAGCCCUGAUCUCUGUCAGCCACGAGCAAGGCUGUGCCUCACUCUUGAACCCACUGCUUCUGCCUGUUCCCAUGGCAAAACCAAGCCCAGCUCUCAAGGCAAACACAACUGCAGAUCUCACCUGAAACGAGGUGUGCUGUGAUAGCUCUGCCAGCCUGUGGUGACAAAUUCCUGCCCAUGGCUCAGGGAAGCCAUGCCAGCACAUCUGGGAGACACACAUCCCAGGAUCCACGGGGGCAGAGCUGUGGACGUGUUGGCAGACACUUGCCUGUUCAUUUCAUAUUUUUCAGAGAUUACUCAUUGUGUUUGAUGUUCCAGAAAAGCAUAGGAUGAUCCUAACCUUGUGUUACCCAUUUUCCACAACAGAGUUUGGCUUGAGAGUUCAUGCUUUAGUAAGCAACAGAAGCUUAAAACUGCCUCUAAGCACCUACUGUAUCAGGAUGACAUUUUACCAUGUUGAUUUACUUCAGAUUUGUAAAAUGGGGUGGUUUUCCCCCACAACUGCAAAGCCAAGAACUCAGUUUCUAAUGAAAGGUAAAAUUCAAAACACAGCACAAUGGCCAUGCAUUUAUCAGGUAGGCCAUAUUGUGGCACCUCUGAUUUAAAGAAUACCAGAGAAAAUAACCAAGAAACAGUUUGUGCUCCCUAUAAAUAGCUGCUUACCAGGUAGUCAUGAGUGUGUGGUUUAUGAAUAAAGUUUGUCCAAACUACAUCAGAGUGCCUGAAUAUUCUCUGCCUGAUUUUGCUGAGUUGUGUGUCUUAAUUUGUCUCACACCUCCCCUUGCAGACCCUUGUCCUGUUUUCUUUCCUAACCCUCUGAAACCCUGGUAGCAUUUGGACAGAUUUUACGUAGAGUUUAUCCAAAGAUUUCUGCACUGAUUUAGUGCAGGCACUACUUGAGCCAAGUGAAACAGGAACUAUUUCUAAGGCAUGAAAAGGCAGAAAGGAAAUUUUCUUAUUGAAAUAUAAUUUUUCCAUAUUACUUAAUAGUCUAGAAAGUUAAUGCCAUUCUGGCAGCACUUUCCACUGGGAAAAAAUAUGGUUCCUACUCAGCCAAACAACAGUGUAAUAAUGUUUUAGGUUGGGUUAAAUGUCUCAGAGACUGGCAGGUGUCACAGCCAUCUUGCCUUCAGUGAAAAAGGCAAUUGAGAGCCCUUAUGGAACAAGGGAUUUACAUCAGGAGGAGCUACUACACAAAAAAAACGGGCACAUGGCAAGGUUUGAAUAGAUGGUGAAUCAUGUAGCCCAAGGGAUUUUUGGGGUGGGGGCAUGUGUGUAAAAUAUCAGGCCAUGAGGACCAGAUGGUUGAGCUCUGCAUGUGCGAGAGGAACAGCGAGAAACUGCAGAAAUGGAGACUGAGAAACAGCUGAAAGUCAAGGACAUUGGGGAGCUUUGAUUUUGGAAAUUGUGUGGAGGGUUUAGUGAGGGUCAGAGCAGUGUUGGCACUGUGAGCAAAAGCACAACUGAAAAACAAUUUUGUUCAUUUGUUCUGUAAGCAGGAGGAAUCACUUGAGUAGUAUACACCUGCUUUGUCAUAGGCUUCUCCUCUCACAAUGAUUCUGUCACCAGAACUUUGUGUUGUGUGCAGGGACAGUUCAGCUCUCCCACAUCAUAAUUCCCCCUUCCUUCUGUACCCUAUCCAUACGAAAUUCCAUGGGGCAGAGACUUUCCCUCAGUAAGAGUCUGUGUGCACAUGACAAGAAAUUGUUGGCCUUGUGCAAUAUCUGAAAUUUAUCAGAAAUUCACUGGACUUACUUUGUAAAUCCCAUUCCUUAGGCUUUGUCUUUCCUAUUGUGAUUUUUUUCAAGGCAUUCCUCUUGCUCAGUACAUGCUGUAGUGAGAAUUAAUAGCUGAAAACACAAAAAAUUAAUGUCACUGGUAAUGUUAAAAAUAAAUAUCUAAGGCUCUGUCUUCUUAUGCACUUCAUUAACUAAGUUUAUUAAUAUUUCCUUGGACAUAAAUGGGGUUAGUUAUUGUUAUGCUGAAGUCUUUGUAAACUGGGGUCUGUGUUAUGAAGAAAACAACUAAGUGUAUUUCAAAAACAUAGUUCUGAAGACAAUAAGGAAGAACAGGUCCCCAUUCUUGUCCAGUUUGUGUUACCAAAUAAACUAACAAUAUGGCUAUGCAGCAGAUGGUGUGUGCAAACAAUAUUGAACCUAAUCUGUGAGUCUUUUUAAGGGUGUUUUCAUAACUAACCUGAAUUACCCAUCAAUACCAUCCAGUAUAAAAAUCACAAACUCCCAGCAGAUUUCCUAAGCAGCACACUAACCUUUCACUCCUUCCUAACUUUUUCAUUGGUGAUCAUAAAGCAACAAAUCGGCACUAAAGAUUGGAGCACGGAUAUUUUCCAUACCCCACUAAUGCCCUGGUUUUGUUGUGCUCACUGAGACUCUCCACACACACAUUGACCCCUGAGCUGCAGAUGUGUAAGCUUUUGAUGAAAGAACUUGUGCCAAAAUCAAUAUACAGGCCAAAACAGAACUAGAGAAGGACGCUUACAAUUAUUGUAAUGAUUAGAUUUGAAUUUCACUAAUAGAAGGUUGAAUCUUCUUCCAUUUAAAUCAGUGGCACCAUUCCAUUUCAGAUUUUGCAUUUUUUUGGAGUCAGCAAAAUAGGCUCAGUUUUAGCUCAAACCCAAAUGAUAUGCCUGAAGCACUGCAUAGCUGUUAAUUAAAAUUAAGUAUCUGAGACACUGAAAUGUUGUACUUCAUCCAUACAAAGUAGACUCAUUACAAGUAGAACAUUCAUUACUUAAAAAGAGUCUUUGGAGUGUUUACAGUUGUAUUUGUAAUCUGCUCAUUUUAUGUUGUUUCAUCCCAAAUCUAAAGGUGUACAAAUCUAAAAGUUUCCAUAAGUAUAAAAUGUAUAAGAGGACAAAGCUAUGAGAAAUGUAAAGAUUGUUUUGCGAGACUUGGAAAAAGCCCAAAAACAAAAAGAAAAAUCAACCCCUCACAAAUUAAUAAUUAACCACAAAAUAUUUUCAUCCCCCCAAAAAAUCCCCUUUGUGGCAAUAAUUGACUUGCAAAAAAAAACCCUGAAUUCUUCAGUUACAGGAAGACUGCUAACUGUACCUGCUGAUUGUAUCAUAUAUAGUGUGAUACUGGGUUUGAGCCAGGUCCAAAUAAAUCAUUUCAGGAUGAAACAAAUUCUUUCCUGGCCCAUCCAUUCCUGUGUCACUGAAAUGCUCUCAGCCAUUACAGUGGACAGGAGCUGAUGGCUUUUCCUGUGUUCCAGAUAAGAUUUAUAAGACUGUGGCUUGUAAAACACUUUUUGACAGUUUCUACAUGCUUGCAUCAACUUUUUCCUCAAUAAAAUGCUGAAUUUGA